rnacentral:rRNA from 1 species
UACGGAGGGUGCGAGCGUUAAUCGGAAUUACUGGGCGUAAAGCGUGCGCAGGCGGUUUGCUAAGACAGGUGUGAAAUCCCCGGGCUUAACCUGGGAACUGCGCUUGUGACUGGCAGGCUAGAGUACGGCAGAGGGGGGUGGAAUUCCUGGUGUAGCAGUGAAAUGCGUAGAGAUCAGGAGGAACAUCCGUGGCGAAGGCGGCCACCUGGACCAGUACUGACACUGAGGCACGAAAGCGUGGGGAGCAAACAGGAUUAGAUACCCU